AUCCUGUCGCAGCCUGAUGCAGCCAUGCCGCGUGUGUGAUGAAGGCCUUAGGGUUGUAAAGCACUUUCACCGGAGAAGAUAAUGACGGUAUCCGGAGAAGAAGCCCCGGCUAACUUCGUGCCAGCAGCCGCGGUAAUAAUCCGUGCCAGCAGCCGCGGUAAUAA
rnacentral:rRNA from 1 species